rfam:Schistosoma mansoni strain Puerto Rico chromosome 4, complete genome
AUCCAGCUGACGAGUCCCAAAUAGAACUUGACGCGCGUCAAACUGGAU